rnacentral:rRNA from 1 species
GACGAACGCUGGCGGCGUGCUUAACACAUGCAAGUCGAACGGAAAGGCCCUGCUUUUGUGGGGUGCUCGAGUGGCGAACGGGUGAGUAACACGUGAGUAACCUGCCCUUGACUUUGGGAUAACUUCAGGAAACUGGGGCUAAUACCGGAUAGGAGCUCCUGCUGCAUGGUGGGGGUUGGAAAGUUUCGGCGGUUGGGGAUGGACUCGCGGCUUAUCAGCUUGUUGGUGGGGUAGUGGCUUACCAAGGCUUUGACGGGUAGCCGGCCUGAGAGGGUGACCGGCCACAUUGGGACUGAGAGACGGACCAGACUCCUACGGGAGGCAGCAGUGGGGAAUAUUGCACAAUGGGCGGAAGCCUGAUGCAGCAACGCCGCGUGCGGGAUGACGGCCUUCGGGUUGUAAACCGCUUUCGCCUGAGACGAAGCGUGAGUGACGGUAAUGGGUAAAGAAGCACCGGCUAACUACGUG